GUUUAAUAUGAAAUUUAAUAGCCUGGAUCAGAAAAAUGUAGGCAAGAAAUUUGGAUAUGGUACCAGCGAUAACGAUAAAUUUGCAUUCCUAUAGAAUCCUUUCUCUUCAAGACUAUAACUUUAUCAGAUUCCUGAAGAGAUUGCCAAGAACUGAACAGGGCAGCAAACCUAAAACAGAUGUAAACCAACCAGAUGCAAACGUCUGUGGGGGCAAACCUCUUUGCCAUCUCCUUUCCCUUCCUGUCUUGAUCUGUGCUCAAUUCCUGGAAAAGCCCCUACUCAGGAUCUCCUAAAGUCUCCAGUAGCAUGUUUUCCCCCACCAUUAAAAU
rnacentral:lncRNA from 1 species